GAUGAACGCUGGCGGCGUGCCUAAUACAUGCAAGUCGAGCGAACGGACGAGAAGCUUGCUUCUCUGAUGUUAGCGGCGGACGGGUGAGUAACACGUGGAUAACCUACCUAUAAGACUGGGAUAACUUCGGGAAACCGGAGCUAAUACCGGAUAAUAUUUUGAACCGCGUGGUUCAAAAGUGAAAGACGGUCUUGCUGUCACUUAUAGAUGGAUCCGCGCUGCAUUAGCUAGUUGGUAAGGUAACGGCUUACCAAGGCAACGAUGCAUAGCCGACCUGAGAGGGUGAUCGGCCACACUGGAACUGAGACACGGUCCAGACUCCUACGGGAGGCAGCAGUAGGGAAUCUUCCGCAAUGGGCGAAAGCCUGACGGAGCAACGCCGCGUGAGUGAUGAAGGUCUUCGGAUCGUAAAACUCUGUUAUUAGGGAAGAACAUAUGUGUAAGUAACUGUGCACAUCUUGACGGUACCUAAUCAGAAAGCCACGGCUAACUACGUG
rnacentral:rRNA from 1 species